rnacentral:lncRNA from 1 species
CACAGAAGUGAGAGGAAGUGAUUUGUUCCAUGUCGGAGUCAAGCUUCUUAGAAAUGGACGUGCUUCUUCCGGGAUCUCUUUCUCCUUCCACCAGCUAAAUGCAGAUAGCAACAACCACACAGUGGGGACACAGAGAAGUGAAGCCUGGGGCCCUGAAUGAUCACAUGGAAGAGACUCACCCUUCUGGUUUCAAUAUUUGACUUAUAGGGAAAAAAAAAAUCACCAUUUUGCUUUCUCCACUCUUGACUGUGAAGUUUAAUAUAAGGUAUGGCUCAGUCUUUGUGAUGAUUCAUAACCUGGCUCUAACCAACAAACCAUUGGACCAUCCUGCGCCUCAUCUCUCUCCCCUACAGAGUCUCUCCUUACCUGUCUGGCUUUUGGGUUCCUUACACGUGGUCUCCCCAGAAAGCACUGAGGACUCUGAUUCAUCAUGUCAAGCGGUCAAUUAGAAUCCGGGAAAGCCUCUCUCUGGCCUCACCUUACUUCCUGUACCAGGAGAGAUGCUCAUCAAUAGUGAGAAAGAGUUGAUGGGAUUAGAGUCUGGAAGUGACAACCUCUCCUGAACCUGAACUCAUUGAUUUCUUCGUUUUACAAAACAGUGUUCUUGAAAAAAAUAAACAAAAAAAGGAAAUAAUACAACUAAGAACUCCAAGGUCUAAAUUUUAACCAGCUGUAUCUCAUAACAACAGAAGCUGCAAUGGCCAACAUACGUCAUUUAUAAAACGCCAACUUAUGUGGAUGGGGAUUGGGAUUUAUUGGCCUAAUGCAAAGAGCAUAUAAAAAAUGAGUAGGGAAAAGACUACUGUUUGUGUAUAUAUGUAAUUAUUACAUAUAUUCUUAAAUGAUAUUUAAUAAAUAAUCAAAUGAUUAAAUAA